rnacentral:rRNA from 1 species
AGAGUUUGAUCAUGGCUCAGGACGAACGCUGACGGUGUGCUUUAGACAUGCAAGUCGAACGAGAAAGCCCUUCGGGGUGAGUACAGUGGCGAACGGGUGAGUAACACGUGGGCAAUCUGCCCCUCGCAGGGGGACAACCGGGGGAAACCCCGGCUAAUACCCCGUACGCUUACGGAGCCGCAUGGGUCCGUAAGGAGAGGUAGCUUCGGCCAUCCGGCGAGGGAUGAGCCCGCGGUGCAUUAGCUAGUUGGUGAGGUAACGGCUCACCAAGGCGACGAUGCAUAGCCGGCCUGAGAGGGUGAUCGGCCACACUGGAACUGAGACACGGUCCAGACUCCUACGGGAGGCAGCAGUGGGGAAUUUUGCGCAAUGGGCUAACGCCUGACGCAGCAACGCCGCGUGGAGGAUGAAGGUCUUUGGAUUGUAAACUCCUGUCAGCGGGGAAAAAGCGACCCGACCUAAUACGUCGGGGAGUUGAUUGUACUCGCAGAGGAAGCCCCGGCUAACUCUGUGCCAGCAGCCGCGGUAAUACGUAGACCUCAAGCGUUAUCCGGAUUUACUGGGCGUAAAGCGUGCGUAGGCGUCCUAGUAAGUCUCCAGUGAAAGCCCCCGGCUUAACCGGGGAAUUGUUGGAGAUACUACUAGGAUUGAGUGUGGUAGAGGCAGACGGAAUGCUUGGUGUAGCGGUAAAAUGCGUUGAUAUCAAGCAGAACACCAGUGGCGAAGGCGGUCUGCUGGGCCACAACUGACGCUGAGGUACGAAAGCGUGGGGAGCGAACGGGAUUAGAUACCCCCGUAGUCC